AUGCGCUCAUACCAGCACUAAAGCACCGGAUCCCAUCAGAACUUCGAAGUUAAGCGUGCUUGGGCGAGAGUAGUACUAGGAUGGGUGACCUCCUGGGAAGUCCUUGUGUUGCAUUCCCC
rnacentral:rRNA from 1 species